UCCUCCACCUCGUCGCAGAUCUCCAAGAAGGAGAAGCUUUUCUCGCAGCCGGAGCAGGUCCCUCUCUAGAGAUAGGAGAAGAGAGAGAUCGCUGUCACGGGAGAGAAAUCACAAGCCGUCCCGAUCCUUCUCUAGGUCCCAGAUACCUUAUUUAUAACAAGAGGAUAAUAUAUAGGCUGGUUGCAAGAAUUAAAUUAUGUAAUAUAUAUCAAUAAUUUAUAAAUUUUAAUUAUUUUUAUAUAAAAUUAUUAGUGCAUCUGUAGAAAAUGCCUGCUGUAUAUACAGAUUUAAGCAUCCUUUAAAAAAA
rnacentral:lncRNA from 1 species